GACGAACGCUGGCGGCGUGCUUAACACAUGCCAGUCGAACGGAAAGGCCCUGCUUUUGUGGGGUGCUCGAGUGGCGAACGGGUGAGUAACACGUGAGUAACCUGCCCUUGACUUUGGGAUAACUUCAGGAAACUGGGGCUAAUACCGCAUAGGAGCUCUUGCUGCGCGGGGGGGGUUGGAAAGUUUCGGCGUUUGGGGAUGGACUCGCGGCGUAUGGGCUUGUUGGUGGGGUAGUGGCUUACAAAGGCUUUGACGGGUAGCCGGCCUGAGAGGGUGACCGGCCACAUUGGGACUGAGAUACGGCCCAGACUCCUACGGGAGGCAGCAGUGGGGAAUAUUGCAGAAUGGGCGGAAGCCUGAUGCAGCAACGCCGCGUGCGGGAUGACGGCCUUCGGGUUGUAAACCGCUUACGCCUGUGACGAAGCGUGAGUGACGGUAAUGGGUAAAGAAGCACCGGCUAACUACGUG
rnacentral:rRNA from 1 species